rnacentral:rRNA from 1 species
GAUGAACGCUGGCGGCGUGCCUAACACAUGCAAGUCGAGCGAUUCUCUUCGGAGAAGAGCGGCGGACGGGUGAGUAACGCGUGGGUAACCUGCCCUGUACACACGGAUAACAUACCGAAAGGUAUGCUAAUACGAGAUAAUAUACUUUUAUCGCAUGGUAGAAGUAUCAAAGCUCCGGCGGUACAGGAUGGACCCGCGUCUGAUUAGCUAGUUGGUAAGGUAACGGCUUACCAAGGCGACGAUCAGUAGCCGACCUGAGAGGGUGAUCGGCCACAUUGGAACUGAGACACGGUCCAAACUCCUACGGGAGGCAGCAGUGGGGAAUAUUGCACAAUGGGCGAAAGCCUGAUGCAGCAACGCCGCGUGAGCGAUGAAGGCCUUCGGGUCUUAAAGACUCUGUCCUCAAGGAAGAUAAUGACGGUACUUGAGGAGGAAGCCCCGGCUAACUACGUAGCCAGCAGCCGCGGUAAU